UGGGUAGACUAGGCAAUCGCUUGUGAUUUUAAUCACAAGAGGAAAGUCCGGACUCCUUGCGAAUAAGGUGCCCUGGAAGAGAAAUCAAUCAGGGGGGGCGCGAGCCCAUGGAAAGUGCCACAGAAAAUAACCGCCUCUGCCUAUUAGGCAAAGGUAAGGGUGAAAACGCGAGGUAAGAGCUCACGAUGUGAUGUUGCAAUGCAUCGCAGGGGUAAACCCCGCCUGGAGCAAGACAAUGUAAGCGUGUUUGGUGUUCGCAACUUAUGCACGCGGGUAUGUCGCAUAGAUAAAUGGUUGCCACCCUUUAUUGGGAACAGAAUCCGGCUUAUUGUCUACCCUUUUU
rnacentral:RNase_P_RNA from 2 species